rnacentral:rRNA from 1 species
AUUGAACGCUGGCGGCAUGCCUUACACAUGCAAGUCGAACGGUAACAGGUCUUCGGAUGCUGACGAGUGGCGAACGGGUGAGUAAUACAUCGGAACGUGCCUAGUAGUGGGGGAUAACUACUCGAAAGAGUGGCUAAUACCACAUGAGAUCUACGGAUGAAAGCAGGGGAUCGCAAGACCUUGUGCUACUAGAGCGGCCGAUGGCAGAUUAGGUGGUUGGUGGGAUAAAAGCUUACCAAGCCGACGAUCUGUAGCUGGUCUGAGAGGACGAUCAGCCACACUGGGACUGAGACACGGCCCAGACUCCUACGGGAGGCAGCAGUGGGGAAUUUUGGACAAUGGGCGCAAGCCUGAUCCAGCAAUGCCGCGUGCAGGAUGAAGGCCUUCGGGUUGUAAACUGCUUUUGUACGGAACGAAAAGCCCUGGGUUAAUACCCUGGGGUCAUGACGGUACCGUAAGAAUAAGCACCGGCUAACUACGUGCCAGCCGCCGCCGUAA